GGGUUGUGAGGUUAAGCGACUAAGCGUACACGGUGGAUGCCCUGGCAGUCAGAGGCGAUGAAGGGCGUGCUAAUCUGCGAUAAGCGCCGGUAAGGUGAUAUGAACCGUUAUAACCGGCGAUACCCGAAUGGGGAAACCCAGUGUGAUUCGUCACACUAUCAUUAACUGAAUCCAUAGGUUAAUGAGGCGAACCGGGGGAACUGAAACAUCUAAGUACCCCGAGGAAAAGAAAUCAACCGAGAUUCCCCCAGUAGCGGCGAGCGAACGGGGAGGAGCCCAGAGCCUGAAUCAGCAUGUGUGUUAGUGGAAGCGUCUGGAAAGGCGCGCGAUACAGGGUGACAGCCCCGUACACAAAAGCGCAUGUGCUGUGAGCUCGAUGAGUAGGGCGGGACACGUGGUAUCCUGUCUGAAUAUGGGGGGACCAUCCUCCAAGGCUAAAUACUCCUGACUGACCGAUAGUGAACCAGUACCGUGAGGGAAAGGCGAAAAGAACCCCGGCGAGGGGAGUGAAAAAGAACCUGAAAUCGUGUACGUACAAGCAGUGGGAGCACAGGUUUACCUGUGUGACUGCGUACCUUUUGUAUAAUGGGUCAGCGACUUAUAUUCUGUAGCAAGGUUAACCGAAUAGGGGAGCCGGAGGGAAACCGAGUCUUAAUUGGGCGUUAAGUUGCAGGGUAUAGACCCGAAACCCGGUGAUCUAGCCAUGGGCAGGUUGAAGGUUGGGUAACACUAACUGGAGGACCGAACCGACUAAUGUUGAAAAAUUAGCGGAUGACCUGUGGCUGGGGGUGAAAGGCCAAUCAAACCGGGAGAUAGCUGGUUCUCCCCGAAAGCUAUUUAGGUAGCGCCUCGUGAAUUCAUCUCCGGGGGUAGAGCACUGUUUCGGCUAGGGGGCCAUCCCGGCUUACCAACCCGAUGCAAACUGCGAAUACCGGAGAAUGUUAUCACGGGAGACACACGGCGGGUGCUAACGUCCGUCGUGAAGAGGGAAACAACCCAGACCGCCAGCUAAGGUCCCAAAGUCAUGGUUAAGUGGGAAACGAUGUGGGAAGGCCCAGACAGCCAGGAUGUUGGCUUAGAAGCAGCCAUCAUUUAAAGAAAGCGUAAUAGCUCACUGGUCGAGUCGGCCUGCGCGGAAGAUGUAACGGGGCUAAACCAUGCACCGAAGCUGCGGCAGCGACGCUUAUGCGUUGUUGGGUAGGGGAGCGUUCUGUAAGCCUGUGAAGGUGGCCUGUGAGGGUUGCUGGAGGUAUCAGAAGUGCGAAUGCUGACAUAAGUAACGAUAAAGCGGGUGAAAAGCCCGCUCGCCGGAAGACCAAGGGUUCCUGUCCAACGUUAAUCGGGGCAGGGUGAGUCGACCCCUAAGGCGAGGCCGAAAGGCGUAGUCGAUGGGAAACGGGUUAAUAUUCCCGUACUUGGUGUUACUGCGAAGGGGGGACGGAGAAGGCUAUGUUGGCCGGGCGACGGUUGCCCCGGUUUAAGCGUGUAGGUGUGUGUUCCAGGUAAAUCCGGUUCACUUUAACACUGAGGCGUGAUGACGAGGCACUACGGUGCUGAAGUAACAAAUGCCCUGCUUCCAGGAAAAGCCUCUAAGCAUCAGGUAACAUCAAAUCGUACCCCAAACCGACACAGGUGGUCAGGUAGAGAAUACCAAGGCGCUUGAGAGAACUCGGGUGAAGGAACUAGGCAAAAUGGUGCCGUAACUUCGGGAGAAGGCACGCUGACACGUAGGUGAAGUGAUUUACUCACGGAGCUGAAGUCAGUCGAAGAUACCAGCUGGCUGCAACUGUUUAUUAAAAACACAGCACUGUGCAAACACGAAAGUGGACGUAUACGGUGUGACGCCUGCCCGGUGCCGGAAGGUUAAUUGAUGGGGUCAGCGCAAGCGAAGCUCCUGAUCGAAGCCCCGGUAAACGGCGGCCGUAACUAUAACGGUCCUAAGGUAGCGAAAUUCCUUGUCGGGUAAGUUCCGACCUGCACGAAUGGCGUAAUGAUGGCCAGGCUGUCUCCACCCGAGACUCAGUGAAAUUGAACUCGCUGUGAAGAUGCAGUGUACCCGCGGCAAGACGGAAAGACCCCGUGAACCUUUACUAUAGCUUGACACUGAACAUUGAGCCUUGAUGUGUAGGAUAGGUGGGAGGCUUUGAAGUGUGGACGCCAGUCUGCAUGGAGCCGACCUUGAAAUACCACCCUUUAAUGUUUGAUGUUCUAACGUGGACCCGUUACCCGGGUUGCGGACAGUGUCUGGUGGGUAGUUUGACUGGGGCGGUCUCCUCCUAAAGAGUAACGGAGGAGCACGAAGGUUGGCUAAUCCUGGUCGGACAUCAGGAGGUUAGUGCAAUGGCAUAAGCCAGCUUGACUGCGAGCGUGACGGCGCGAGCAGGUGCGAAAGCAGGUCAUAGUGAUCCGGUGGUUCUGAAUGGAAGGGCCAUCGCUCAACGGAUAAAAGGUACUCCGGGGAUAACAGGCUGAUACCGCCCAAGAGUUCAUAUCGACGGCGGUGUUUGGCACCUCGAUGUCGGCUCAUCACAUCCUGGGGCUGAAGUAGGUCCCAAGGGUAUGGCUGUUCGCCAUUUAAAGUGGUACGCGAGCUGGGUUUAGAACGUCGUGAGACAGUUCGGUCCCUAUCUGCCGUGGGCGCUGGAGAACUGAGGGGGGCUGCUCCUAGUACGAGAGGACCGGAGUGGACGCAUCACUGGUGUUCGGGUUGUCAUGCCAAUGGCACUGCCCGGUAGCUAAAUGCGGAAGAGAUAAGUGCUGAAAGCAUCUAAGCACGAAACUUGCCCCGAGAUGAGUUCUCCCUGAGACUUAAAGUCUCCUGAAGGAACGUUGAAGACGACGACGUUGAUAGGCCGGGUGUGUAAGCGCAGCGAUGCGUUGAGCUAACCGGUACUAAUGAACCGUGAGGCUUAACCCUACAACGCCGAAG
rnacentral:rRNA from 1 species